UUGCUCCACCGAAAGAAAAAGAGUGGCGAACGGGUGAGUAACACGUGGGUAACCUGCCCAUCAGAAGGGGAUAACACUUGGAAACAGGUGCUAAUACCGUAUAACACUAUUUUCCGCAUGGAAGAAAGUUGAAAGGCGCUUUUGCGUCACUGAUGGAUGGACCCGCGGUGCAUUAGCUAGUUGGUGAGGUAACGGCUCACCAAGGCAACGAUGCAUAGCCGACCUGAGAGGGUGAUCGGCCACACUGGGACUGAGACACGGCCCAGACUCCUACGGGAGGCAGCAGUAGGGAAUCUUCGGCAAUGGACGAAAGUCUGACCGAGCAACGCCGCGUGAGUGAAGAAGGUUUUCGGAUCGUAAAACUCUGUUGUUAGAGAAGAACAAGGAUGAGAGUAAAAUGUUCAUCCCUUGACGGUAUCUAACCAGAAAGCCACGGCUAACUACGUGCCAGCAGCCGCGGUAAUACGUAGGUGGCAAGCGUUGUCCGGAUUUAUUGGGCGUAAAGCGAGCGCAGGCGGUUUCUUAAGUCUGAUGUGAAAGCCCCCGGCUCAACCGGGGAGGGUCAUUGGAAACUGGGAGACUUGAGUGCAGAAGAGGAGAGUGGAAUUCCAUGUGUAGCGGUGAAAUGCGUAGAUAUAUGGAGGAACACCAGUGGCGAAGGCGGCUCUCUGGUCUGUAACUGACGCUGAGG
rnacentral:rRNA from 1 species